rnacentral:rRNA from 1 species
GAUGAACGCUGGCGGCGUGCUUAACACAUGCAAGUCGAGCGAACAGACGAGCUGCGUGCUCCUGUGACGUGAGCGGCGGGUGGGUGAGUAACAGGUGGAUAACCUACCUAUAAGGAUGGGACAACUACGGGAAACCGGAGACAAUAUCGGAUAACAUGUUGAACCGCAGGGAUCAUCAGUCAUAGAGGGUCUUGCGGUCACGUUUGGAGGGUUUCGCGCCGGAUUAGCUAGUUGGUAAGGUAACGGCUUACCAAGGCAACGAUGCGUAGCCGACCUGAGAGGAUGACCAGCCACACUGGAACUGAGACACGGUCCAGACUCCUACGGGAGGCAGCAGUGGGGAAUCUUGGACAAUGGGCGAAAGCCUGACGCAGCAACGCCGCGUGUGUGAAGAAGGCCUUCGGGUCGUAAAACACUGUUAGUGGGGAAGAAAAGGUGUGUGCGAAAAUAUGCGCGUCUUGACGGUACCUGAACAAAAAGCACCGGCUAACUACGUG